CUUUUUUGCUAUCUGAGAUAUUCAAAGAUUGAACCUGCAGCAGGUUCGAGUUGAGCGCAGCGAAACAACGGAGCGCUCGCGGCGACGGCCCGAAGGGCGAGCGAAGCGAGUCAUCCUGCACGACCCACCA
rnacentral:sRNA from 1 species